AUUUGGUUUGUCUCAGGUUGGCUUGAGCAUCUCCCUGCUUGGUGUCCUGUGGUUUUAGCUGGUUUCUCCCUCCCUUUGUGUUACUGGUGCAAGGAGACUGAACUACUUGCAUACCUACUCAGAAAGUGCAAAAUAGGAACAGAUGCCGCUUGUAUCAGAAAGUGACCUGGGAGGCCAGAGGUAUGUCAGACUUCUGAUGGAAUGACAGCCAAAGAGCACCAUGGAAGAGACAGCACUGCUAUGUCCCUGAUGCAGCCCAGGAAACCAUUAACCUUCUUUGUGGCAAGGGCACUUUGCUCGCUUGGGUUUACCUUGGUGUCCACCGUGAUCCCCAGGUCCUUCUCUGCAGAGCUGCUUUCCAGCUGGGUGCCCCCAGCAUGUGCUGGUGCCUGGGGUUGUUCCUCCCCAGGGGCAGGGCCUUGCGCUUCCCCUUGCUGAACUUCAUGAGGUUCCUGUCAUCUCCCCAGCCUGUCCAGGUCCCUCUGGAAGGCCGCAUGCCUCUCUGCUGUAUCAGCCACUCUCCUCGGUCCUGUGUCGUCUGCAGACCUGCUGAGGGUGCACUCUGCCCCACCAUCCAG